rnacentral:rRNA from 1 species
AAUAUUGCACAAUGGGGGAAACCCUGAUGCAGCGACGCCGCGUGAGCGAAGAAGGCCNNNGGGUCNUAAAGCUCUGUCCUAAGNGACNAAACGGACGGUACCCUAGGAGGAAGCCCCGGCUAACUACGUGCCAGCAGCCGCGGUAAUACGUAGGGGGCGAGCGUUGUCCGGAAUUACUGGGCGUAAAGGGUACGUAGGCGGCUAUAUAAGUCAAGUGUGAAAUACCAGUGCUUAACACUGGAAUUGCAUUUGAAACUGUGUAGCUUGAGUGCAGGAGAGGAAAGUGGAAUUCCUAGUGUAGCGGUGAAAUGCGUAGAGAUUAGGAGGAACACCAGUGGCGAAGGCGACCUUCUGGACUGUAACUGACGCUGAGGUACGAAAGCGUGGGUAGCGAACA